AAACUCAAAUGAAUUGACGGGGAGCACCACAACGGGUGGAGCUUGCGGUUAAUUGGAUUCAACGCCGGAAAUCUUACCGGGACCGACAGCAAUAUGAAGGCCAGGCUGAAGACUUUGCCGGAUUAGCUGAGAGGUGGUGCAUGGCCGUCGUCAGUUCGUACUGUGAAGCAUCCUGUUAAGUCAGGCAACGAGCGAGACCCACGCCCACAGUUGCCAGCGUACUCUCUGGAGUGACGGGUACACUGUGGGGACCGCCGCUGCUAAAGCGGAGGAAGGAAUGGGCAACGGUAGGUCAGUAUGCCCCGAAUAUCCCGGGCUACACGCGAGCUACAAUGGUUGGUACAAUGGGUAUCUACCCCGAAAGGGGAUGGAAAUCUCCUAAAGCCAAUCUUAGUCCGGAUUGAGGGCUGCAACUCGCCCUCAUGAAGCUGGAAUCCGUAGUAAUCGCGUUUCAACAGAACGCGGUGAAUACGUCCCUGCUCCUU
rnacentral:rRNA from 1 species